rnacentral:rRNA from 1 species
CGCGAAUAGCUCAUUACAACAGCCUUAGUUUAUUGGAUCUUAGAGUCCUACUUGGAUAACUGUGGUAAUUCUAGAGCUAAUACACGCAAUUAAUCCUCAACCUUACGGGCGAGGAGCAUUUAUUAGAACAAAACCAAUCGGCUUCGGCCGUAUCUGGUGAAUCUGAAUAACUACGCUGAUCGCAUGGUCUCGUACCGGCGACAUAUCCUUCAAGUGUCUGCCUUAUCAACUGUCGAUGGUAGUUUACACGCCUACCAUGGUUGUAACGGGUAACGGAGAAUAAGGGUUCGACUCCGGAGAGGGAGCCUGAGAAACGGCUACCACAUCCAAGGAAGGCAGCAGGCGCGCAAAUUACCCACUCUCAGAACGAGGAGGUAGUGACGAAAAAUAACGAGACAGUUCUCUAUGAGGUCUGUCAUCGGAAUGGGUACAAUUUAAACCCUUUAACGAGGAUCUAUUGGAGGGCAAGUCUGGUGCCAGCAGCUGCGGUAAUUCCAGCUCCAAUAGCGUAUAUUAAAGUUGUUGCGGUUAAAAAGCUCGUAGUUGGAUCUGCGGUCGUAGACUCUGGUUCCCUCCUAGGGAUACUAGCUGUCUCGACCUACCUUGUUAGAUUUCCCUUGGUGCUCUUUACUGAGUGCCUUGGGUGUCUAGCUCGUUUACUUUGAAAAAAUUAGAGUGCUUAAAGCAGGCAUUUGCCUGAAUAGUGGUGCAUGGAAUAAUGGAAUAGGACCUCGGUUCUAUUUUGUUGGUUUUCGGAGCAUGAGGUAAUGAUUAAGAGGGACAGACGGGGGCAUUCGUACUGCUACGUUAGAGGUGAAAUUCUUGGAUCGUAGCAUGACGAACAACUGCGAAAGCAUUUGCCAAGAAUGUUUUCAUUAAUCAAGAACGAUAGUUAGAGGUUCGAAGGCGAUCAGAUACCGCCC